UACGUAGGGUGCAAGCGUUGUCCGGAAUUAUUGGGCGUAAAGAGCUCGUAGGCGGUCUGUCGCGUCUGCUGUGAAAACUCGGGGCUUAACCCCGGGCCUGCAGUGGGUACGGGCAGACUAGAGUGCGGUAGGGGAGACUGGAAUUCCUGGUGUAGCGGUGAAAUGCGCAGAUAUCAGGAGGAACACCGGUGGCGAAGGCGGGUCUCUGGGCCGUAACUGACGCUGAGGCGCGAAAGCUAGGGGAGCAAACGGG
rnacentral:rRNA from 1 species